UACGGGAGGCAGCAGUGGGGAAUAUUGCACAAUGGGCGCAAGCCUGAUGCAGCCAUGCCGCGUGUAUGAAAAAGGCCUUCGGGUUGUAAAGUACUUUCAGUCGUGAGGAAGGUGUUAAGGUUAAUAACCUUAGCAAUUGACGUUAGCGACAGAAGAAGCACCGGCUAACUCCGUGCCAGCAGCCGCGGUAAUACGGAGGGUGCGAGCGUUAAUCGGAAUUACUGGGCGUAAAGGGCACGCAGGCGGUUAAUUAAGUUGGAUGUGAAUCCCCGGGCUUAACCUGGGAAUGGCAUUCAAGACUGGUUAGCUAGAGUCUUGUAGAGGGGGUAGAAUUCCAUGUGUAGCGGUGAAAUGCGUAGAGAUGUGGAGGAAUACCGGUGGCGAAGGCGGCCCCUGGACAAAGACUGACGCUCAUGUGCGAAAGCGUGGGGAGCAAAC
rnacentral:rRNA from 1 species